rnacentral:tRNA from 1 species
GGGCGGUUAGCUCAGUGGUAGAGCACCGGUUUUACACACCGGCUGUCACAGGUUCGAAUCCUGUACCGCCCACCA